AGGGUCUAGGUCGCAGAUACAGCUUGGUUCUGGUGUUGCUGUGGUUGUGGCAUAGACCUCA
rnacentral:precursor_RNA from 1 species